CGAAAGUGAAUUUGGAUAAGAUAUGAGUCGAUGCUAAAUAUACCAUCAAGGGCAGAACUAGCUUGAAGAUAUUCUGAAAAGAUUUUAAACCUGUCUAAAAUGGGUUAUGUAUAUCGGCUACUACGAAAUGAUGAAAAUCCGGAAAUGGGAUUGAUGGCAAAGAACAUAUGGUCUAAAGUGAGCGUACAGGAGCACGUGGCAUUUGGAUCGCAUGGAGUCGCUUCAAGAUACAUAUCCUGUUGUAAAUCUGAAGCAGCUGUACAGAGACUUGCUUUUUUAUCCCGCACAAAUCCAAAGAGGAUCGCGCUGCUUAAGGUCGGUCUCGUCUUCUCAAACAUGAAAAUCAUAGAUCUGACGGAUCCACGUGAACUUCUCUAUCAUUUAGAAGAUCCUAGGGCUAUUAGGCUUGCCACUCAAUUUGAGGAAGUUUUGGUUGAAGAUUACAUUCAUAAAACAUGCUUUGUUCGUUAUAUUCCGUAUAAACCGAUAGUUGCAGGCAUAUAUUAAUACUGAAAACAUGCUGCACGAAUUGGAAAGUUAAAAGUUUCUCUUCUUUUUGUAGUUUCUAAUAGAUCAAAUAAAUGAUGUAACAGUAUAGAUUUGCUCAUAAAAAGUAAUUAUGAUGUUUGUACACGUGUGCUUGUUUAAUUAAAUAACGAA